rnacentral:lncRNA from 1 species
GUCUAGAUACAGAGCUAUGCUGUCAGGCUAAAGAGGGCUGGAUAGAGGGAACCAAUUAGGUGGUCUGUGGGGGUGCUGGAGGCAGAUUAAAGGGGACAGGAUGGAAACAACAAUAGGAAAUAUAUUUAGCCCGAUGAAGUUGCAUUGACUGACUGGAUCACACGCAGAGAAGGGCAAACGGAUGCCAUUACCAGAGCUCUCAACUCGAACUUCAGGUCAAAUCGGGAACUUUUUCAAAUGGCCUUGGCAAGGAAUUUCCAUCACUAAAUUGACGCAUCUUCAAUCCCCUGAUUCCAAACUGGUUUUAAAUAAGCUCUCAGGGUGGGACAGAGUCCCUCAACAAAUGCAGACUUCUAGGGCAGCAGCACUCUAGUUCAUCUGAUGUUUUUCAGAAGAGACAAGUAAAUGGAUUAGGGACUUUUCAAUUUUAAUUUAAAUGCCAUAGCUGACUGCCUCAUUGAUUCAAUAAAGGGAUCCAAUGUCCAUACUUCUGAGCA